rnacentral:rRNA from 1 species
AUACGUAGGUGGCGAGCGUUGUCCGGAAUUACUGGGCGUAAAGGAUGCGUAGGUGGAUACUUAAGUGGGAUGUGAAAUCCCCGGGCUCAACCCGGGAACUGCAUUCCAAACUGGGUAUCUAGAGUGCAGGAGAGGAAAGCGGAAUUCCUAGUGUAGCGGUGAAAUGCGUAGAUAUUAGGAGGAACACCAGUGGCGAAGGCGGCUUUCUGGACUGUAACUGACACUGAGGCGUGAAAGCGUGGGUAGCAAACAGGAUUAGAUACCCUGGUAGUCCACGCCGUAAACGAUGGGUACUAGGUGUAGGAGGUAUCGACCCCUUCUGUGCCGUCGUUAACACAAUAAGUAUUCCGCCUGGGGAGUACGGCCGCAAGGUUGAAACUCAAAUGAAUUGACGGGG